rnacentral:lncRNA from 1 species
AGAAGGUUGCACUAUUGUGUUUAGUUGCGCGUUUAAGUGUCAGAAUAGGCCUGCUGAUCUGGUGGUUAGUUGUGUGUUAGUGUAUAUUUAGGUCACGUGUUCGAACCUUUGGGUGUGUAGUUUUUAGAAAUAUUUUUAUUUUUUUAAGUAGUAAACUUGUUUGAAGUUUAAAAAAAAUUAAUAGUUUUAUUUUAUUAUUUUAUUAUUAUUUUUGUUUUGAAUUUCUUUUCUUUCACGUUCCCCUCUCCCUUUUCCUCUCUUUGUUUCUUUUUUGGUUUUUUUAACAAUCUUAUCCCUAAACCUUAAAUAGGGGAUAAUGUG